rnacentral:lncRNA from 1 species
AGCUCAGGGCCUAUCUUCCUCACCAAAAAAUAAAAAAGAAUAAUAAUUCAUGAUUACUUGAAAAGAGCCUAUUCGUGAGGAUGGAGAAGGAGACAUUUCCUAGAGACAGAUUGAAAUAAGUGUAAAAGCAAGCUAUGGUUUCAGCAUCCAGCGCUGCAGUGUUCACAUUAGUUUCACCUCUGACACUUUCAAAAGUUAUAGAGAAACAACCCACGUAGACUUUUAAUUGAGUAGAUCUGAAAGCUGUUCUACUAAGGAUGUGGGGGAGUCAGAUCGGUGGUUGUUUUGACCUUUGCAGAUCACUGAGGAUGGCCAGGAAGCAAAAAACAACGGAGGGUAAAAUAGAUUAAGAACAAAAUCCACAAAAAGAAAUCCUUGAAUCUUUCUGGACUAGAGGCUGCUUGUGGCAUGUGGGACGCUGCCCCAGCGUGGUCUGAUGAGCAGUGCCAUGUCCGCGCCCAGGACUCGAACCAACGAAACACUGGGCCGCCUGCAGCGGAGCGCGCGAACUUAACCACUCGGCCACGGGGCCAGCCCCAACAUUUCUCUGUUUUUAAGAAAUUUUUUCUACUUGAUGCAUCAUUUCUUGAAGUUUUAGAAAAAAUUAAGAGAAUUAAAGUAGCUACCUUUAACGUGUGCUUCUUCAAAACUGUAACAAGGCUUAGAGAGAUAAAUGAAAGUCUUAACUGAUCCAAGUGAAAAAGAUAAACAGACAUGCAUGUUGAAACACUAAAUAAUAAUAUCUUUAGGUACAUUUAGGAUUUCAUCAUUCUCUUUGGCUAACCUAACUGCAGUAUAAUCAUGAACUCAUUUUUAAUGCAGUGGAAAAGUGAAAUUUUCAAGUGGUCUGACACAUGUAUAAAAAUGAUAUUUUCAUAGAUGGAGGAUGAAAACCAGAACCUAUAUUUGAGUAUAAUAAUGAGAUUCAUAUAUUAAUGGAGUAAUUUUUAGAAAAAUUAGCCAAAGAUUUUUUUAAAUUAUGCUUUUUAAAAAGAUGGUAUUAAUUUCAUUUGGAUAGAAUUUAGUAUGAUAAUAUAAUAUAUGCCUAGAGUCACAUAGCAUGUUACUUAGAUUUUAUGCAUUGUAAACUAUUCAUUUGUAGAAUGACCAUUUGAUUAAUUUUUAUAGUUGUUUCCAGCUCUUGACUGAAGUUCCCCACCUUAUUAUGUAACCAUGUGACCGUACUCAUCAUGUUUAUUUUAAUAUCCGUGUCUGAUAACUCCAAUAUCUGUAUCUACCAUGGGUUUGUUUCUGUUGUCUUUUUGUUUUCUGGCUUUGACUCAUUUGGUCUUUUUUCUUGGUAUGCCUGAAUUUUUUAAUGGAAUGUUUUCUUUCCAUUGUGUAUAAAAAAUUUUAGGGGUAAUUUGAAUGUCUGGAUAUUUUCUUUCUCAAGAGAAUUUACUUUUGCUUCAUUCAGGUGGAGGGAAGAGAUAGAUUAUAUUAAUUCAAUUCAAUCAAGGAUGGAGCUUGUUCAGAAUUGCAAUUCAGUCUUUGGACUGCUCUACUUUUAACUCUGAAAUAAUAUGUGUGCAUGUGUGUACAAACAUACAUACACAAAAACAAAUAUAAACAUUUGACA